AGUGAACGCUGGCGGUAGGCCUAACACAUGCAAGUCGAACGGCAGCACAGUAAGAGCUUGCUCUUACGGGUGGCGAGUGGCGGACGGGUGAGGAAUACAUCGGAAUCUACUUUUUCGUGGGGGAUAACGUAGGGAAACUUACGCUAAUACCGCAUACGACCUACGGGUGAAAGCAGGGGAUCUUCGGACCUUGCGCGAUUGAAUGAGCCGAUGUCGGAUUAGCUAGUUGGCGGGGUAAAGGCCCUCCAAGGCGACGAUCCGUAGCUGGUCUGAGAGGAUGAUCAGCCACACUGGAACUGAGACACGGUCCAGACUCCUACGGGAGGCAGCAGUGGGGAAUAUUGGACAAUGGGCGCAAGCCUGAUCCAGCCAUACCGCGUGGGUGAAGAAGGCCUUCGGGUUGUAAAGCCCUUUUGUUGGGAAAGAAAAGCAGCAGGUUAAUACCCCGCUGUUCUGACGGUACCCAAAGAAUAAGCACCGGCUAGCUUCGUA
rnacentral:rRNA from 1 species